rnacentral:rRNA from 1 species
UACAGAGGUCUCAAGCGUUGUUCGGAUUCAUUGGGCGUAAAGGGUGCGUAGGCGGCGGGGCAAGUCGGAUGUGAAAUCUCAGGGCUCAACCUGAACUGCAUUCGAUACUGCUCUGCUCGAGGACUGGAGAGGAGAUUGGAAUUCACGGUGUAGCAGUGAAAUGCGUAGAUAUCGUGAGGAAGACCAGUGGCGAAGGCGGAUCUCUGGACAGCUCCUGACGCUGAGGCACGAAGGCCAGGGGAGCAAACGGG